rnacentral:rRNA from 1 species
UACGUAGGGGGCAAGCGUUGUUCGGAUUUAUUGGGCGUAAAGAGCGUGUAGGCGGCUUGGUAGGUCCGCUGUGAAAACUCGAGGCUCAACCUCGAGAUGUCGGCGGAAACCACUUGGCUAGAGUCCGGAAGAGGAGAGUGGAAUUCCUGGUGUAGCGGUGAAAUGCGCAGAUAUCAGGAAGAACACCUAUGGCGAAGGCAGCUCUCUGGGACGGUACUGACGCUGAGACGCGAAAGCGUGGGGAGCGAACAGG